rnacentral:rRNA from 1 species
GUCUACAGCCAUACCUCCCUGGAUGCACCUGAUCUCAUCAGAACUGAGAGAUAGCAUGGUGUGGGCUCGUGGGCAGAAAAGUUGCAGGAU